UCCGGCGUGGUCUAGUGGCUAGGAUACCUGGCUUUCACCAAAGAGGCCCGGGAUCGAUUCCCGGCGUCGGAA
rnacentral:tRNA from 1 species